rnacentral:rRNA from 1 species
UACGGGGGGGACAAGCGUUAUCCGGAAUUACUGGGCGUAAAGCGCACGCAGGCGGCCGAGUAAGUCUGACGUGAAAUCUCCCGGCUUAACCGGGAGCGGUCGUUGGAAACUACUUGGCUUGAGGCGAUGAGAGGGGUGUGGAAUUCCCGGUGUAGUGGUGGAAUGCGUAGAUAUCGAGAGGAACAUCAGUGGCGAAAGCGGCACCCUGGCAUUAGCCUGACGCUCAGGUGCGAAAGCGUGGGGAGCGAACGGG